rnacentral:rRNA from 1 species
CAGUGAGGAAUAUUGCCAAUGGGCGAGAGCCUGAACCAGCCAAGUAGUCGUGCAGGAUGACGGCCCUAUGUGCGUUGUAAACUGCUUUUAUAUGGCGAAUAAAUGUGAGGGACGUGUCCCUUAUUGCAUGUACCAUACGAAUAAGGACCGGCUAAUUCCGUGCCAGCAGCCGCGGUAAUACGGAAGGUCCAGGCGUUAUCCGGAUUUAUUGGGUUUAAAGGGAGCGUAGGCUGUUUGUUAAGCGUGUUGUGAAAUGUAAGAGCUCAACUUUUAGAUUGCAGCGCGAACUGGCAGACUUGAGUGCGCACAACGNAGGCCGGAAUUCAUGGUGUAGCGGNGAAAUGCUUAGAUAUCAUGACGAACUCCGAUUGCGAAGGCAGCUUACGGGAGCGCAACUGACGCNUAUAGCUCGAAGGUGCGGGUAUCCGAACAGGAUUAGAUACCCUGGUAGUCCGCACAGUAAACGAUGGAUGCCCGCUGUUAGCACCUAGUGUUAGCGGCUAAGCGAAAGNCAUUAAGCAUCCCACCUGGGGAGUACNCCGGCAACGGUGAAACUCAAAGGAAUUGACGGGGGCCCGCACUAGCGGAGGAACAUGUGGUUUAAUUCGAUGAUNGGCAAGGAACCUUACCGGGGCUUGAAUUGCAUAUGUUUAUAUCAGANAUGAUAUAUUCCCUUCGGGNCAUUUUGUGAANGGGCUGCAUGNNUGUNCUACANCNCGUGCCACGAGGNGUCCGCUUUAAGNCCCAUAAACGAGCCCNACCCUUUUUNUUNUAUUUGCCAUUNCGGGUAAUGNC